CUCAUCAGCAAGUUGGUCCUGGACCACAUCUUUGUGACGACUCAAGUCCUCAUCAGCAAGUUGGUCCUGGACCACAUCUUUGUUUGUGACAAACACAACAUCUUGUUCUGCCAGACACCCAAAGUGGGAAACACGGAAUGGAAGAAGGUCUUCAUUGUUCUCAACGGAACCUACUCCAGUGUGGAGGAGAUCCCGGAGAACCUGGUCCAUGACCAUGAGAAGAACGGCCUGCCCCGCCUCUCCUCCUUCAAACCACAAGAAGUUGCACUCAGCGCGGACAUUUUCUGCACGGCAACACAGUCCUUCUGCUCGGGUUCAUCAAGCUAAGCAUUUUUCUGGCUAUGCUGACCGACUACAAGUCCAUGAAAAGCAAAGGACCUGAAAUGUGUGGUUUGAAACGUUCAGGACAUAUCCACAGCGUUGUCGACACUUCCUCCCUCCUCCGCCUUUCUUCUGCUGCACACAACAUUAACCAACAAGAUGUGUGGUCCGGACGCUUGUAGUCUGAACUGACCUGUUAUCGGGGCAUCUGGCCGGGACUGCUCCUUUCUCCACGCCGGAACAAAAACUGUAACAUCAUGGUGGCCACGUUCUAAAAACCAGUCAACAGCCAGUUGGAUGCCUUGGCAGGAGAACACCUCCUUGUUGCCGUGGCUACAGGACAGAAAGAUCAUUCCAGUAUUAUGGUGGUGUGACCACAACAGUACAAACUAUCAGCCUGCUCACCUCAUGGCUACGUUACUACCGUCCACAACGAUGGGGCGCAGGUUCUCCUGGUCGCAAAGAGACUCUGGCGGACACGGCGAGUCCAGUCGCUGACUUGUCUGCAUAUCGGAGGAACUGUAAGAGGAACAGGACGACAAAGAUGUUGAGGUGGAGGCCGACGACCCGACUGGUUGCUCGCCAUCUGAAGGGCCUCGUUUGACCAGCUCCCCGAGUAUGUCAUUGAUGAGAGUGUGCGGCCCCAGCUUGGACAGGACCAGCCGCACCGUCUCCUCCGAGUAGCCCAGCUUCAGCGCAAAAUCCAGUUUGGCUCGAUACUCCUUGUCCGCAGCAGUAGGGGGGGGGGCAGGUUCGGAUGCGGAGGGGUUGGACUGGGACUCAGGUGCAUGCUGGAGUUGAGGGAUCUUGAGAUCUUGCUGGAGCUCUGACAGUUGAAGUGGGGUCGGUGGCUCGGGAGGACCUUCGGUGCCCAAGUCCACACACUGUGUGCGACACAGCGGCUGGUGGAGGCUCUUACCGUGUGUCCAGCAGCUCUGGCCCUCGUUUGGGUUGAGGGGGCCAGUCAGCGCAGGACCAAAAGACACCUGUGGCCCACCCUCUGUCUCAGAACUUUCCUGGGGGGUAGAGGUGGUGCUGAGGUGGAUGUCCUCCUGCUCCUCCAUGGCAGGAGGAGGCCCGUCGGUGAUGCCAGCCUGCCGCUCAGCACCUACGACAUGGAGAUACUCAAGCCCCAGGUCCAGGUCCAGGUCCAGGAUAAGUCCUGCUUCUGCCUCCUCAUGAUUCUUCUGGCCCAUGGAGCUGUCUCAGACAUCCGUCACGCCGGGCCGACCGCAGCCGUCUCACAAAGCUGGACUCAGCUGUGCCUAAAGAAGAAGUGAUAGAUGAGGUCCAACUAGGAAUAGAACGACUUUUUAUUCCAAUGAAAAGUCUACAACAAAUCAAAUGUGUUGUUAUUAUUAUUAUUAUUGUUAUUAUUAUUAUGCUGGGGCAUUGUGGCGUCCUACUUUUUAAACGGUCCUUGACAACACCGUAAAAACAGCAGGGUUGCAUAUUCCCCGAGGAAUAAACGAUCACGAUGUUGUAAGAAGA